rnacentral:lncRNA from 1 species
GCGGUUCGUGGGUUCAGCUCUUGGACAUGGACCUACACACCGCUCAUCAGGCCACGCUGUGGCGGCGUCCCACACAGAAGAACUAGAAUGACCUAUAACUGGGAUAUACAACUGUGUACUGGGGCUUUGGGGAGAAAAAAAAUGAGAAAUUUAGUGGAUGGACAGAAAAAUGUUUGGAAACAGAAACAAACUAAGCCUCAGGGACUAGUGGGACAGUAUAAAAACCUCUAACGAAUGUGUUAAUGGAUUCCCAGCAAAAGAAGAAAGACGUUGUAAAAAACCCUUUUUUUAAGAAAUAACGGUUGAGGGGCCGGCCCCGUGGCUGAGUGGUUAAGUUUGCACGCUCUGCUUCGAUGGCCCAGGGUUUUGCCUGUUUGGAUCCUGGGUGUGGACAUGGCACUGCUCAUCAAGCCAUGCUGAGGUGGUGUCCCACAUGCCACAACUGGAAGGACCCACAACUAAAAAUACACAACUAUAUACCAGGGGGCUUUGGGGAGAAAGGGGAAAAAAAAAAAAAAGAAUGGUUGAAAAUGUCCCAAAUCUGGCAAUAGAUAUAAAUUUAAAGACUGAUAAAGUUCAAUAAACCCCAAAUAGACAACCUCAAAGAAAACCUUAUCAAGACGCACCAUUGACUGCUGAAACUAAAGAUUUUUUAUCUUGAAAGCAGCCAAAGAAAAGUGACUCAUAUAUAAAGUAACAAUUUGAAUAACUACCAAUUUAUCAUCAGAAACCACAGAGCCCAUUUGACUGGAAAGUUCUAAAGGCUGAAAGUAACUCAGUCUAGAAUCCUAUACCCAUUAAAACUAUCAGAAAUGCAGAUGAAAUAAAAGUAUUCUUAGGUGAAGGGAAACAGAAUUCUUAACCAGUGGAGCUGCUCAGAAAGAAAUGCGAAAGGAGGUUCUCCAGGUGGAAGGUGGAUAAUAGCCGAGAGGAUCUCAGAACUGCAGGCAUGAAGAAAGAGAUCAGCAGAAAUGGCUAAGAUGGCCUUGAUCAUCAUAGGCUGACUGGUAGUGAGCUCCUGUCUGCUGAAAUGGAGCGAUCUUUUGGUCAUGUCCAGUGGGCACAGGAUGGUUGGACCAUUGUCGGUACAAAAGCUGACAGCUGGACACACGGACAUCAAGUUCAGCCCCUCCUGUGCGUGCGGAAUCAGGUAGACACG